AUGUCCUUCGCUCGUACAACA
rnacentral:misc_RNA from 1 species